rnacentral:rRNA from 1 species
UUACCAAGGCGCUUGAGAGAACUCGGGUGAAGGAACUAGGCAAAAUGGUACCGUAACUUCGGGAGAAGGUACGCCGCUUCGGGUGAAGGGACUUGCUCCCCGAGCCUGGGGCGGUCGAAGUGACCAGGUGGCUGCGACUGUUUAUUAAAAACACAGCACUCUGCAAAGACGAAAGUCGACGUAUAGGGUGUGACGCCUGCCCGGUGCCGGAAGGUUAAUUGAUGGGGUCAGCCGCAAGGCGAAGCUCUUGAUCGAAGCCCCGGUAAACGGCGGCCGUAACUAUAACGGUCCUAAGGUAGCGAAAUUCCUUGUCGGGUAAGUUCCGACCUGCACGAAUGGCGUAACGAUGGCCACACUGUCUCCACCCGGGACUCAGUGAAAUUGAACUCGCUGUGAAGAUGCAGUGUACCCGCGGCUAGACGGAAAGACCCCGUGAACCUUUACUACAGCUUUGCACUGGACUCUGAACCUGUUUGUGUAGGAUAGGUGGGAGGCUGUGAAGCGGUGACGCUAGUUGCCGUGGAGCCAACCUUGAAAUACCACCCUGAUAGUUUUGGGGUUCUAACCCAGGCCCGUUGACCGGGUCGGGGACAGUGUAUGGUGGGUAGUUUGACUGGGGCGGUCUCCUCCCAAAGAGUAACGGAGGAGCACGAAGGUGCGCUAAGCGUGGUCGGAAAUCGCGCGGAUUGUGCAAAGGCAAAAGCGCGCUUGACUGCGAGAGCGACGGCUCGAGCAGGUACGAAAGUAGGUCUUAGUGAUCCGGUGGCUCUGUAUGGAAGGGCCAUCGCUCAACGGAUAAAAGGUACUCCGGGGAUAACAGGCUGAUACCGCCCAAGAGUUCAUAUCGACGGCGGUGUUUGGCACCUCGAUGUCGGCUCAUCACAUCCUGGGGCUGAAGCCGGUCCCAAGGGUAUGGCUGUUCGCCAUUUAAAGUGGUACGCGAGCUGGGUUUAGAACGUCGUGAGACAGUUCGGUCCCUAUCUGCCGUGGGCGUUGGAGAUUUGAGGGAAGCUGCUCCUAGUACGAGAGGACCGGAGUGGACGCACCUCUGGUGUUCGGGUUGUCACGCCAGUGGCAUUGCCCGGUAGCUAUGUGCGGACGGGAUAACCGCUGAAAGCAUCUAAGCGGGAAGCCUCUCCCAAGAUGAGAUCUCCCUGGGGGGCGAACCCCCCUGAAGGGUUGUUCAAGACCAGGACGUAGAUAGGCGGGGUGUGUACGCGCUGCGAGGCGUUGAGCUAACCCGUACUAAUUACCCGUGAGGCUUGACCAA